AGAACGAACGCUGGCGGCAUGCCUAACACAUGCAAGUCGAACGAGACCUUCGGGUCUAGUGGCGCACGGGUGCGUAACGCGUGGGAAUCUGCCCUUGGGUCCGGGAUAACAGUUGGAAACGACUGCUAAUACCGGAUAAUGACUUCGGUCCAAAGAUUUAUCGCCCAGGGAUGAGCCCGCGUCGGAUUAGCUAGUUGGUGGGGUAAAGGCCUACCAAGGCAACGAUCCGUAGCUGGUCUGAGAGGAUGAUCAGCCACACUGGGACUGAGACACGGCCCAGACUCCUACGGGAGGCAGCAGUGGGGAAUAUUGGACAAUGGGCGAAAGCCUGAUCCAGCAACGCCGCGUGAGUGAUGAAGGCCUUAGGGUUGUAAAGCUCUUUUACCCGGGAUGAUAAUGACAGUACCGGGAGAAUAAGCCCCGGCUAACUCCGUGCCAGCAGCCGC
rnacentral:rRNA from 1 species